rnacentral:rRNA from 1 species
GUGGGGAAUCUUGCGCAAUGGGCGAAAGCCUGACGCAGCGACGCCGCGUGAGUGAUGAAGGCCUUAGGGUUGUAAAGCUCUGUGGAGGGGGACGAAUAAGCGUCGGUGAAUAUCCGGCGUGAUGACGGUACCCCUUUAGCAAGCACCGGCUAACUCUGUGCCAGCAGCCGCGGUAAGACAGAGGGUGCAAACGUUGUUCGGAAUUACUGGGCGUAAAGCGCGUGUAGGCCGUCGCGAAAGUCGGGUGUGAAAGCCCUGGGCUCAACCUGGGAAGUGCACUCGAAACUUCGUGACUUGAGUAUCGGAGAGGGAGGCGGAAUUCUCGGUGUAGAGGUGAAAUUCGUAGAUAUCGAGAGGAACACCAGUGGCGAAGGCGGCCUCCUGGACGAUUACUGACGCUGAGACGCGAAAGCGUGGGGAGCAAACAGGAUUAGAUACCCCUGUAGUCC